rnacentral:rRNA from 1 species
GCGGCGGACGGGUGAGUAACACGUGGGCAACCUGCCCUGCAGACUGGGAUAACUUCGGGAAACCGGAGCUAAUACCGGAUAACACCGAAAACCGCAUGGUUUUCGGUUGAAAGGCGGCUUUUAGCUGUCACUGCAGGAUGGGCCCGCGGCGCAUUAGCUAGUUGGUGAGGUAACGGCUCACCAAGGCGACGAUGCGUAGCCGACCUGAGAGGGUGACCGGCCACACUGGGACUGAGACACGGCCCAGACUCCUACGGGAGGCAGCAGUAGGGAAUUUUCCGCAAUGGACGAAAGUCUGACGGAGCAACGCCGCGUGAGCGAAGAAGGUCUUCGGAUCGUAAAGCUCUGUUGUCAGGGAAGAACAAGUGCCGUUCGAACAGGGCGGUACCUUGACGGUACCUGACGAGGAAGCCACGGCUAACUACGUGCCAGCAGCCGCGGUAAUAC